CGGGUUGUGUGGGUUGGCGGGCUCCGUGCUUCGGCAUCGAACCGUCCGCGCACGCUCCAUGUCAGUGACGCAUCAAGAAUUUCUUGUGCCUCGAACGGAUUCCUGUAUUUGUUGCCUAUCGUAAAGGAAUGGUGCCUCUCGUUGACCCUUUCCUUCCCCGACCCAUGCGGCCGGGGGAAGGACAUCAUAGCAAUGCUUGUGCCCCUAGUACUGAACGUGCCUCAUGGCGCGCUCAWUGUGACGGUUCCCAAGUGCUUGCUUGAUAUCUCGGAUACGGAAAAUUCGGUGGACUUGGGGUCUUUGCACCCUUGCACGUCCAAUUUAAAGCUAUAUGUACGACUGCCAAGCUCGUUGCGGGUUUUCCCGUGCGCUGCUUGGCGUCGGCAAAGGAAUGCUACCUGGUU
rnacentral:misc_RNA from 1 species